rnacentral:rRNA from 1 species
UCGUAGGUGGUUUGUCGCGUUGUUCGUGAAAUCUCACGGCUUAACUGUGAGCGUGCGGGCGAUACGGGCAGACUUGAGUACUGCAGGGGAGACUGGAAUUCCUGGUGUAGCGGUGGAAUGCGCAGAUAUCAGGAGGAACACCGGUGGCGAAGGCGGGUCUCUGGGCAGUAACUGACGCUGAGGAGCGAAAGCGUGGGGAGCGAACAGGAUUAGAUACCCUGGUAGUCCACGCCGUAAACGGUGGGUACUAGGUGUGGGUUUCCUUCCUUGGGAUCCGUGCCGUAGCUAACGCAUUAAGUACCCCGCCUGGGGAGUACGGCCGCGAGGCUAAAACUCAAAGAAAUUGACGGGGGCCCGCACAAGCGGCGGAGCAUGUGGAUUAAUUCGAUGCAACGCGAAGAACCUUACCUGGGUUUGACAUGCACAGGACGCCGGCAGAGAUGUCGGUUCCCUUGUGGCCUGUGUGCAGGUGGUGCAUGGCUGUCGUCAGCUCGUGUCGUGAGAUGUUGGGUUAAGUCCCGCAACGAGCGCAACCCUUGUCUCAUGUUGCCAGCGGGUAAUGCCGGGGACUCGUGAGAGACUGCCGGGGUCAACUCGGAGGAAGGUGGGGAUGACGUCAAGUCAUCAUGCCCCUUAUGUCCAGGGCUUCACACAUGCUACAAUGGCCGGUACAAAGGGCUGCGAUGCCGCGAGGUUAAGCGAAUCCUUUUAAAGCCGGUCUCAGUUCGGAUCGGGGUCUGCAACUCGACCCCGCGAAGUCGGAGUC